rnacentral:rRNA from 1 species
CCUACGGGAGGCAGCAGUGAGGAAUAUUGGUCAAUGGCCGGAAGGCUGAACCAGCCAAGCCGCGUGAGGGAGGAAGGCGCAGAGCGUCGCAGACCUCUUUUGCCGGGGGACAAAAGGCCGGACUCGUCCGGUCCUGAGGGUACCCGGAGAAAAAGCAUCGGCUAACUCCGUGCCAGCAGCCGCGGUAAUACGGAGGAUGCGAGCGUUAUCCGGAUUUAUUGGGUUUAAAGGGUGCGCAGGCGGGCCUUUAAGCCGGCGGUGAAAUCGCGGGGCUCAACCCCGCUCCGCCGGUGAAACUGUGUCCCUUGAGUGCGCGAAGGGUAGGCGGAAGGCGUGGUGUAGCGGGGAAAUGCAUAGAUAUCACGCAGAACUCCGAUCGCGAAGGCAGCCUACCGGCGCGCAACUGACGCUCAUGCACGAAAGCGUGGGUAUCGAACAGGAUUAGAUACCCCGGUAGUC